rnacentral:tRNA from 1 species
GGGCGAGUAGCUUAAUUGGCUAAGCGGCAGGUCUACACCCUGUUGUCAUGUAGGUUCGAAUCCUAUCUCGCCUACCA